rnacentral:lncRNA from 10 species
ACAAUCCAAGAUAUUCUCACAGACGGGUGUCUGAGGGAUUGCAGAUGCAUGAGGCAGGCCAGCUGAGAAGAGGUUACUAACAUAAAGAUAAACACAAUCAUGAAUUAUGAAGACUUUUCUUAUUACAAAUUUUAGAUAAGUAAUUGAUGCUUACCCAAACUGAAAGACAGAGGGGAUGAACUUGGAGUCAGUGACGGAGCUAAGAAUAGUUUCCAGUCUUUCCAAGGAUAAGACUGUUUAAGUAAUUUGACAAAGUUCACCCAGUUGUGGCUGGGGUUGAAACCAGACUUGCUGAACUUCAAAGUCAAGCUUUUCUCCCCCCAAUGUCAACUAAAAAAAUAUUCAGCCAUAAAAAGAAUGAGAUUAUGUCCUUUGCUACAUGGAUGGAGCUGGAGACCAUUAUCUUAAGUGAACCAGUUAAGAAACAGAAAACCAAA